UGCAGUCGAGCGGAUCUUCAAGGGAGCUUGCUCCCGCGAAGGUUAGCGGCGGACGGGUGAGUAACACGUAGGCAACCUGCCCUCAAGACCGGGAUAACAUUCGGAAACGAAUGCUAAGACCGGAUACGCAAGCUCCUCGCAUGGGGAGCUUGGGAAACACGGUGCAAGCUGUGGCUUGGGGAUGGGCCUGCGGCGCAUUACCUAGUUGGCGGGGUAACGGCCCACCAAGGCGACGAUGCGUAGCCGACCUGAGAGGGUGAACGGCCACACUGGGACUGAGACACGGCCCAGACUCCUACGGGAGGCAGCAGUAGGGAAUCUUCCACAAUGGGCGAAAGCCUGAUGGAGCAACGCCGCGUGAGUGAGGAAGGCCUUCGGGUCGUAAAGCUCUGUUGCCAGGGAAGAAUAAGGGCCAGUUAACUGCUGGUCCGAUGACGGUACCUGAGAAGAAAGCCCCGGCUAACUACGUGCCAGCAGCCGCGGUAAUACGUAGGGGGCAAGCGUUGUCCGGAAUUAUUGGGCGUAAAGCGCGCGCAGGCGGUUUCUUAAGUCUGGUGUUUAAGUGCGGGGCUCAACCUCGUGUCGCAUCGGAAACUGGGAGACUUGAGUGCAGUAGAGGAGAGCGGAAUUCCACGUGUAGCGGUGAAAUGCGUAGAGAUGUGGAGGAA
rnacentral:rRNA from 1 species